ensembl:lncRNA
CUUUUUGGGGCCAUGCCCAUAGCAUCUGGAAGUUCUCAGCCUAGGGGCAAAUCAGAGCUGCUGGCCUACAGCUGCUGGCAAUGUGGGAUGGAUGCUGUGUAUACAAUCUAUACCACAGCUUGCAGCAAGGCCAGAUCCUGAACCCACUGAGGGAGGCCAGGGAUCAAACUGGUGUCUUCAUGGAUACUAGUCAGGUUUGUUACCACUGAGCCACAACAGGAACUCAUUAGAUUCUGUAUUUCAAUUUAACUCUUUGUUGGUUUGGUUUGACCAUCUGGGAGUUUUUUCCAAGGUUUCAUUGGCAUUAUAAUCUCAACUCUUUGAUGGUGAAACAAUUUUUUGUUUCCUCUGUAUUUUAAAGAUAUCUUGAUUUUGCAAGGUAGGCUUAGGUCAAAAUUUCUUUACUCAAACUUUGAAGCCAUUGCUCAUUGACUUCUGUCAUUAAAAUCUGCUGUGGAGAUUCUGAUGCCAAAUUCUAUUUUUUGUCCUCACGACUUGCUUUUUUUUUUCUCCUACAUACCUGAAGAAUUUUCUUUUAGCUUCAGAGUUCAAUAACUUAAUGGUGAUUUUAAUAACUCUUUCACAAUGUUUAGUGUUCCCAGAACAUUUUGUGCCUUUCAGUCCGUAGAUUGUUUUUCCUUACUUCAAGGAAAAUCUCUUCAAUAAAUUUUAAAUAUCUUUUUGUUCAAUUUAUUUGAAUUUUCUGUUUCUGAAACAAUGAUGUCUUGGGCCACUGGGUUAUUUUUUCCUCUCCGUUCUCUGCAUCUAUUACCUUUCUCCUUAUUGUUUUAGGCUCUUAGUUCUUUUCCCCCUCUCUAUGUUCACUGUAAUUAAGCCUUCCUUAUAUAUUAGUAAUUGUUUUCAGCUGUGUCUAUUAUAAUAGGUUGUUUUGGUCUUUCUCUUGUUUCCUCAUCUCUGCAAUGUCAAUUUUCAUCUCAUUCUAUGGUUUUAUUAUCUUUGGUUGUCAGUCUUAUUUCAUUGAUUUCAUCUUCUAUAGAAGUCCAUAGAAAGUCCUAACAUGAAGUGCUACCAGAGAAUUUCCUCCAUGUUAGCUCUGGGAAUAGUUUUGGCAUUUUCUGUCUUUUCUCUCACUCUCAUUCUUGCUUUCUCCUUUGCCUGUUGUAUGUUCUCUUAAUGCCCACCAUUUCUUUGUACAUUCAAUAUUUGAGUAGACAACCUACCUAGAGUUUCUAUUGGUCUCACAAGGUGAGCAGAUUCUCCUUAAUCCUCUUCUCACUCUGUCAGUGACUUAUUUGUCUUACUUUUCUUUGAAGUGUGUGCAUUGUGAGCUCUUCUCGGCUUUCAAAAAUAGCCUGGAGCACUGGGAGACAUCUUGGAGAGAUAAGCUUGGGUUGUGUGUGGCCUUUGGAGAUCUGGGACUUCCUUCUGGAUCUUUGUCAAUUUUCCUGUCUCAGGACUCAUUGCUCCUGGUUGGAGUUGGUUUAAAUUCUUGAGGGGAGAGAGGACAGGGAUGGCAUCUUUCUCUGGUCUGUCCUUUAAGUCAGUGUGGAUUAUUACUCACAUCAGAGAGAUCAUCCUACUUGUUUCAUAUCUCCACUUCCACUCACCUUCUUGUCUGGAUAGCUAUUUCUAUUCCUGUCAGUACAAGAAGAAAAACAAAAUAGUCUUUUGACAAAUAUAUCAUAUGAUAUCAUUUAUAUGUAGAAUCUAAAAUAUGGCACAAGUGAAUUUAUCUAUGAAACAGAAAUAGAGUCAGAACCGACUUGUGGUUAUUAAGGUGGAGGGGGACAGUUGGGAAGGAUGGAUUGGGAGUUUGGGAUUAGCAGAUACAAACUAUUAUAUAUAUACAGAAUGAAUAUACAGCAAGGUCUCACUGUAUCGCAGAGGGAGCUAGAGUUAGUAUCUUGUGAUAGACCAUAACGAAAAAGAGUAUGAUAAAGGAUAUAUAUAUAUAUAUGUAUAGAUGAAUCACUUUGCUGCACAGUAGAAAUUAGACGACGUUGUAAAUCAACUAUAAUUCAAUAAAAGAAGUGAGUCUUCAUUCAGGGCUCUGAGAGUUCUCCCUGCACCCUAAGAGCACACUUUCUUAUCUUGUUCUGCUAAAUCUCCGUUAUUGUUGGAGAUGGUUAUAUCUGGGUAGUCCUAACCGUUUUUCCUUCUUUUGUCUCCUUCCUCUAUGCCAGGAGAUGCCCAAAUGGGAUGACUGGAAUUCCUCCAUCCCUGGGAAUUCCUGUGGUGACAGUCUUGGGGUUUGGGAGAGUUUUUACAACUCCUCCAACUGAUGACUAUGCCAACUUGUUAGUAAUUAUUCCCAGGUCUGCUGAUUCAUUUUCUUUAUGCAGCGCUGAUCCUGCCAACUGCACCAGAAUCUUCUCCCCUACACCCCUGGCUCAGCUGCCAUUUUCAUAAUUUCAUAACAUAAUGUUGAUUGUGGUGGUUCAUUUUCAUUUUUUAAAUAAGAUGCUGCUGUUGUUGUUAUAAUUAUUGUUAUGUCUUGGGGGGAGGGAGAUUCUAUGACCUGCUGUCUUUACUUGCCAGAGCACUGUUCUUGUUAUGGAUUAUUAGGUUAUUAUUAAACUUAGAAGUGCCCCAAGCUGACUGUUUGUAGCCACAGUGACAGUUUACUGAUAUGUUGCAUAAGUUUGAGGCUGGAGAAAGUCAGGGGUUAACGCUAGUGUGUUUGUAAUAGUCCCUAUGGCAUUGUCUGGCUGCUAGGAAAUGCUCUUAUUGAAAGUUCCACCAGGAAAAGUUCUCUCUGCCUUUGGGGAACAUGAAACAGGAAAAAUGGCUUGAUGUUAAAUAGUGUAGUGAAGAAAUAUGAGCUUUGAAGCCAAACGGGUGUGGUUUAUAUCCAGCCUCUACCACAGAGUCAUAUGUGACAUCUAACCACUGCUAACUUCAGACUUCUCAUCUGUAAAUGAGAAUAAUAUCCCUUGUUGUGUGGACCUAUGGGGGGAGGCAUGGAUUCAGUGAGACAGUAAUUCAAAGCAUUGGAUCUGUUCCUGACACAACUCCAGUGCUUGGAAACAGUAGUUUCUGCUUGCCUCACCCUUGUUGCCCUCCUCCAUCCUUUCUGAUCUGCAGACAUGGCCACCAGGCAAUGAGGAGCAAAUGUGGGAGCCUGACACACAUCUUAUGUUUCACAGAUACUUUUCUUGUCUUUUACCAUGUUCGUGUUUAAUCUAAAGAGUAUGAGAUGAGAUUAGGUCAUGGGCAGGUAGGAAAAUACUUGCUUUCUAUCUACCCCUAGAAAUAAAAAAAUAUAUAUAAAGAAAAAAAAGAGAGUGGGUAUGUUUUCCUUUAAAAUUUGAUUUGUAUAAAAUCCAGAAAAUCAUAAAAAGUGAAUAUAUACUAAACUCCUUGUUCUCCCAGGGAUGGCUCUUGACAAGACCACAGCAAAGAUUAAUACAUGUUAAUAUAACAUAGGUACAAAAGGCUGAGGUAUUUGAUUUUAGUUGAUCUCAGCAGGCAAAAUCCACUCUGCUUGCCCCUAGUCACUGAUGAAGAAAAAGGAAUUACAGGCAGAGAACCGGCAAGGAGGCCAGGAGUGUGACUUGAUUAGAAUGUAGUCUUCUCCUCAUUAGCCCUCCAGAGGAGUGGUCCAGAAGGGGAUCUGGCGGUGGUUAUCUCUGCUAAGUGAGAAGGAUGUUUGAAAGGAUCAAGGAGCUAUAGAUGAGCUUUUUAUAGCUCGUGGCAACACCCGAUCUCUGACCCACUGGGCUAGGCCGGGGAUCGAACAGGCAUCCUCAUGGAUACUAGUCAGAUUCAUUUCCAUGGCACCAUAAUGGGAACUCCUGGAUGGGCUUCUAAAAAGUCUCUUUCAAUUAAUAAAUCUAACAUCAUAUAACGUUUAAUUUGAGUUUUCCCCAAAGCUAACCCUGAGAUGAGGAUUUUGGUUCAAGUGUUUUCUUUGGGAGGUGAUACUAGGAAGCAGAGGUAAGGGGAUAGGGCAGUAGACAGGGAGGGCCAGAAAGCCAAUAAAGAUGCAUUUAUGAGUGGAUCACCACUGUAGGCCACUGGGGCUCGGUUUCAGUGAGGGCCCCUAAGAGACUAUGCAGAAGAUUCCCAGAGUCAUCUCACACAAGGACAAGAAAACUGGGAUCUUUGGCAGAGGGUCGCUCUUGGAGCAUUGACUUGCUUGUAUUCUAGCCAUCCCAUGCCAGUGGCCAGAGAGUAUCACAAAUGCAGGGAGCCCUCUAGACACAAAUGCAGGGAGCCCUCUGUGUGUACAGCAACUGUCUGCUGGUGGUCUCAGACAUGGGCAGAGGUAUUUGAGAUGCACACUGAAUGAACCCAAAUCACAUGAAUUUUUGCCUUAUGAAUAUCUCUGGAGUCACCUAGCC